ensembl:lncRNA
CAGCUUGAAAACGAAAACAGAAAAGUCAUCAAAGCUCAGUCCGGGGCUGAGGAUGAGGCCUGCGUCCUUUGAAGACAGCAGCAUGGAAAUGUGCCCAGGUGAAUUGGCAGUCCCACUGAGAAGUGAAAAUAGAUGUCCAUUCACACUGAGACGGCUUUUCGGGUCCCGGCCAAUUCUGCCAGGCUGCCAACAGGGUGGCGUGACUGAGAGGGAAAUGAAUUGUGGGUACAGAGGGUUCCUCUUGACGUUCAAGACAACACCACUGUUAAGGAAGAACCCUUUCCCCCUUUUGGACCCCACUGACUUUCAUUCUACAGUAUGUAUAAAAACACAAAACAUCCCUAGAGAAAAAUAACACACACACACACACACACACACACACACACACAUCGUUUCGAACAAUGUCAGUAAAUGUUAAUAGAUUUUACCUUUAUUUAGUAUGAAAUAAAUGUAUUUUAAAUAUGUGACUUUUUUGAUAC